UGAAGCCAAUAAAACUAAAUAAAAAAGCACUUGUGAGCAAGUUAUUACUGUAGCAGCUAGUUGUUGUUAUUGUUGCUGAAUUGCUGUUGCUACUUCGCAAGAAUCUUUGGAACUCGAUGGUCUGCCCGAGUAGCUAAACAACUUCAGUCAACGUGUAAAAGCGGCCGCGGUCGCAACGGUUUAGAGCAGUAAGUGAGCGUUUUUUUUUUUGAAUUACCGAUAUUGCCAAUGGUGCGAAACAAGCGACAACAGCAUUAGCGGUAAUACGAUUUUUUUUUGUUUUCUGAGGAUAAACUUGGUUGUGGCACCAUCAACCGCUUUACCAAUCAACCAAGAAAGUCAGCAAUGCAACAGCAAGCAAUCAAUCGACUAGCGAAACGACAAAGUUGUGUUGACGCUGAUGCAUCUUGGAAUGCAAGCGAUAAAUUGUAGUGUAUUUUUUGAGGAACUUACAAUACGAAAAUAAAAAGUGGAAAAUUUCAAUCAAAGUGUGACUAAAAAAGUGAAGGGCAAUCUAAACUCAGCAGCAGAGGCGUGAAUUUUUUUUCAAUUAGACAUCAAGCGAACACAGUGGGCUCACUCAAGCGAAUGAAAUGAAGCAUAAUUGAAAAACAAAAAAAAAUAAAUAUUAAAACAUAAAAAUUGAUUAAAAAU